AACAAUCUGCAACAAAAAGAUUUGCACGGAGUGUUCCAGCUGUUUGCGGUGUGCGCUACGUUCCCAUCAGUAGUCAAGAAGUGGCACCGUAUCCACUAAACGCCUGCAAACAAACAAAUUCUCUUUGAGCAAAUUUCAUUUACCGACAAAGCUUCGAAAAUCUUUUGCGCAUUCCGUUCGGUUCGGCACAACGUAAUCACUAGACAAAUUUGUUACAGCGCGCGCGGCGCGUUUGGUUUAUUUGGAGUGUUUUGUUGCAAGUUAAUGCGCACCUGUAUUUUAAAUGAAAAAUUCCGAAUGAUCAAAGAAACAUCAUUAAAUAUUUUAUUAAAAUGUUAAAAUACUGAGUGUCUUAAAUAGUAGUAAUAGUACCAAGCACAUACACAUCGAACGAUCAAUUAUAAACAAAUUGUGUACUGCCUUUUAAAAGUUAUGGGCCCAGAUAGGCAGCUAGGCGUCUAUUAUUAGUGAGUUAGUAAGAGAAGGCGUGAAAUUUGUAGCAGUGUAGUGUUAUUAGUAUUUUCACCGAAUAUACAGGAUGGCGAAUAACCAGAAGGUUAAAGGGCAGAGGAAAACUAUGAUGAAUGGGCUUUUGCAGCGCAGAAUUAUUUAGUACUAGAGGAAUUACAUCAUUGUAUAGCGCAGG